UACGGAGGAGGCAAGCGUUAUCCGGAAUUAUUGGGCGUAAAGCGUCCGUAGGUGGCUAGUCAAGUCUGCGGUCAAAGACUGGGGCUUAACCCUGGAAAGGCCGUGGAAACUGACGAGCUAGAGUGCAGUAGGGGUAGAGGGAAUUCCCGGUGUAGAGGUGAAAUUCGUAGAUAUUCGCAAGAACACCAGUGGCGAAGGCGGCUCACUGGCCCGAUACUGACGCUGAGGUGCGAAAGCGUGGGGAGCAAACAGG
rnacentral:rRNA from 1 species